AACAGGAUUAGAUACCCUGGUAGUCCACGCCGUAAACGAUGUCGACUUGGAGGCUGUGCCCUUGAGGCGUGGCUUCCGGAGCUAACGCGUUAAGUCGACCGCCUGGGGAGUACGGCCGCAAGGUUAAAACUCAAAUGAAUUGACGGGGGCCCGCACAAGCGGUGGAGCAUGUGGUUUAAUUCGAUGCAACGCGAAGAACCUUACCUACUCUUGACAUCCAGAGAACUUAGCAGAGAUGCUUUGGUGCCUUCGGGAACUCUGAGACAGGUGCUGCAUGGCUGUCGUCAGCUCGUGUUGUGAAAUGUUGGGUUAAGUCCCGCAACGAGCGCAACCCUUAUCCUUUGUUGCCAGCGGUUCGGCCGGGAACUCAUAGGAGACUGCCAGUGAUAAACUGGAGGAAGGUGGGGAUGACGUCAAGUCAUCAUGGCCCUUACGAGUAGGGCUACACACGUGCUACAAUGGCGUAUACAAAGAGAAGCGACCUCGCGAGAGCAAGCGGACCUCAUAAAGUACGUCGUAGUCCGGAUUGGAGUCUGCAACUCGACUCCAUGAAGUCGGAAUCGCUAGUAAUCGUAGAUCAGAAUGCUACGGUGAAUACGUUCCCGGGCCUUGUACACACCGCCCGUCACACCAUGGGAGUGGGUUGCAGAAGAAGUAGGUAGCUUAACCUUCGGGAGGGCGCUUACCACUUUGUGAUUCAUGACUGGGGUGAAGUCGUAACAAGGUAGCCGUA
rnacentral:rRNA from 1 species